rnacentral:rRNA from 1 species
UACGUAGGGGGCUAGCGUUGUCCGGAAUCAUUGGGCGUAAAGAGCGUGUAGGCGGCCCGGUAAGUCCGCUGUGAAAGUCGGGGGCUCAACCCUCGAAUGCCGGUGGAUACUGUCGGGCUAGAGUGCGGAAGAGGCGGAGUGGAAUUCCUGGUGUAGCGGUGAAAUGCGCAGAUAUCAGGAGGAACACCAAUUGCGAAGGCAGCUCGCUGGGACGUAACUGACGCUGAGACGCGAAAGCGUGGGGAGCAAACAGG